rnacentral:rRNA from 1 species
GAUGUUGACUUGGAGGUUGUGCCCUUGAGGCGUGGCUUCCGGAGCUAACGCGUUAAGUCGACCGCCUGGGGAGUACGGCCGCAAGGUUAAAACUCAAAUGAAUUGACGGGGGCCCGCACAAGCGGUGGAGCAUGUGGUUUAAUUCGAUGCAACGCGAAGAACCUUACCUACUCUUGACAUCCAGAGAACUUAGCAGAGAUGCUUUGGUGCCUUCGGGAACUCUGAGACAGGUGCUGCAUGGCUGUCGUCAGCUCGUGUUGUGAAAUGUUGGGUUAAGUCCCGCAACGAGCGCAACCCUUAUCCUUUGUUGCCAGCGGUCNGGCCGGGAACUCAAAGGAGACUGCCAGUGAUAAACUGGAGGAAGGUGGGGAUGACGUCAAGUCAUCAUGGCCCUUACGAGUAGGGCUACACACGUGCUACAAUGGCAUAUACAAAGAGAAGCGACCUCGCGAGAGCAAGCGGACCUCAUAAAGUAUGUCGUAGUCCGGAUUGGAGUCUGCAACUCGACUCCAUGAAGUCGGAAUCGCUAGUAAUCGUAGAUCAGAAUGCUACGGUGAAUACGUUCCCGGGCCUUGUACACACCGCCCGUCACACCAUGGGAGUGGGUUGCAAAAGAA